GACGAACGCUGGCGGCGUGCCUAAUACAUGCAAGUAGAACGCUGAAGGAGGAGCUUGCUUCUCUGGAUGAGUUGCGAACGGGUGAGUAACGCGUAGGUAACCUGCCUGGUAGCGGGGGAUAACUAUUGGAAACGAUAGCUAAUACCGCAUAAGAGUAGAUGUUGCAUGACAUUUGCUUAAAAGGUGCAAUUGCAUCACUACCAGAUGGACCUGCGUUGUAUUAGCUAGUUGGUGGGGUAACGGCUUACCAAGGCGACGAUACAUAGCCGACCUGAGAGGGUGAUCGGCCACACUGGGACUGAGACACGGCCCAGACUCCUACGGGAGGCAGCAGUAGGGAAUCUUCGGCAAUGGACGGAAGUCUGACCGAGCAACGCCGCGUGAGUGAAGAAGGUUUUCGGAUCGUAAAGCUCUGUUGUAAGAGAAGAACGAGUGUGAGAGUGGAAAGUUCACACUGUGACGGUAACUUACCAGAAAGGGACGGCUAACUACGUG
rnacentral:rRNA from 1 species